rnacentral:rRNA from 1 species
AUUGAACGCUGGCGGCAGGCCUAACACAUGCAAGUCGAACGAGUGGCGCACGUGAGAGUUAUGUCUGGGAAAGUGCCUGGGGGAGGGGGAUAAACACUGGAAAGGGUAGCUAAUACCGCAUACCAUCGGAUGUGCCCAGAUGGGAUGAGCUAGUAGGUGGGGUAAAGGCUCACCUAGGCGACGAUCCCUAGCUGGUCUGAGAGGAUGACCAGCCACACUGGAACUGAGACACGGUCCAGACUCCGACGGGAGGCAGCAGUGGGGAAUAUUGCACAAGGGGCGCAAGCCUGAUGCAGCCAUGCCGCGUGUAUGAAGAAGGCCUUCGGGUUGUAAAGUACUUUCAGCGGGGAGGCGUUACCCGCAGAAGAAGCACCGGCUAACUCCGUGCCAGCAGCCGCGGUAAUUC